GGGCCAAAAGGUGUGGGGGGGAUGGGGAACCAGCAGAGACUCACGACACAACGUCAUGACCAGGAGCAAUGGGGUCUGAAGCUCUCUUGCUUUGCCCAUGUUGUGGGGCGGGGACGUCAGUCAGGACCUGAGAAGAGCUAAAACCUGUUUGCAUGCUGUCCACCACAGGUAAAAAAAACCACAAAACAAGGCAGAAAACCCAUCCAAAUCCUCACCUGGUACCAGCAGUGUCCUGACGUCAGCCGGAGCUUGGCCCUGCGCCGGUGCCUGUCCUUGCGGGAGAGCUGGUGGCUGCAGAGGGGGACCAGCGUUGGGAGGCAGAGCCGCUCCACUUUCUCCUUCCUCCCCAUCCUUCCCAGCCCCCUUCUUUACAGGGUUAAUUUUAUUUUUUCCUCCAGGGGUUUACGAACAGCUAGCUGAAACGCGCAGGCCAGCUGCCUGCCGGUGGCAGCAGGAAAACAGGCAGACAAAGCAGAUGGACCCAGCAGGGGUGAAGGAGCACUGUCUUCAGCGGGCCAUAGGCACCACUAAAGAGUAAACAUCUCUCCAAAGGGAGCCGGGAGCUAACCCCAAACCCUGUCCCCUCCAACGUACUCAAUCACAGCACAUUAACAAGAGCGCCUGGACUGCUGGGGAGAGUAAACAAUAAGAGGCCUUGCUGGCAGGAGAGUGGGAAAAGCAGUGACCCCCUCCAGCUAAUAUUUAUUGUAAAAGGGUGUAAAAAGUGGCUUGUGGCUCAGCGUGUUGUCAGCGGGCUGUGGACUGUGUCACUGCUCAUCUGCUUUCUGGGCAACCGCCCUUUCCCUUCCAGGGCAAGCGUGUGCACAGACAUCUGAGAGACCCACAGGGAAGAAGGAACAAAGGAAAUCUAGAAGCUGGAGGUGAAAGCACAACCCUCUCCCCCUGGACCAGCUGUGGCUUAGUGGAUGCAACGUUGGUUCCCAAACCCAGGAGUGCUGUGGUCUUGUGGCUUCCUCAACUCUGGAAGAGUGGUCAGCCAGAAACAGAACAAUACUCAUGACCACAGGUGUGAAAAAGCAAGGGGCAACUGUGGAGAAGACUGCUCCCUGCAAGCCUUGAAAGACAGUGGAGGAGGAGGACUUCCAGAGGAGGACUUGGUGGAUCUGCUCUUACAUUACUCCUACAGCCAUAACUGCAUAGCUCCACAGUUGAGACCUAUUUGCACCUCAGUGUGACUAUACAUGAUUUUCAUUUUGUCUUGAGUCUGGAGCAUCUUACCUGUCCCGUUGACCAGGGAGAUGCACGUGCAGGGUGGAAACUUGCAUAUUGUCCUCUAGAGAGUGUGUCCCACAAGUCAUGUAGCAGACCAAGCCUGGGCCCAGCCUCAGGCAGGGCGAUGGUGUAGAUAUGUGUCUCCUUAUAGGCAUGUGCAUGUGUCCAAUUGUAACUGUGCAAUGGUUCAUUUUUUAAAGCAGAUCCCACUUUGUGUCCCCUUCAACAUCACCAGUACAGCUCUAGACAUAGCUCUGAACAAUCUGUUAUUCUAAAAAAUUAGUUAGAUAAAAUUAGUGAAAAUAAGGUGGUUUCUUGUAAUUCUUUAGUGCUGUUCCCUAAACAUUUUUAAUCUAAUUUUCUUUGUCUUCUCCCGAGUUCAUUUUUGCCCCUGUCAUACUAGUUAGGGUGACUAGUCUUGUGGUUGUGAUCUUUUAAGCCUCAAAAUGCCCAUAAAUUUGGGGGCUGUGUUGUCGUGGUGCUUUGCACCACUUUGUGCUUUCCUGGCAUAGACAAUCCAGGUUGCCUUUUGCUGGGAUUUGUUAGUGCUUUAGUGAUAGUAGAUGCCAAGAAUGUGCAUCUACUCUGUUCAAAACCUUUAAGACCACAGGAGUCAUGAUGACAACCAAACCUGGCCUGCCCCUCAGAGAUCCUGUCUCUACUUGCAGAAAGUAGCUAGAGCAGGAAAACAUUGUCCUACAUUAUCAGUGCCCUAUAGAUCUCUCCCUCUUCUCCCAGCCUUCCCUCCCAUGCACGGUGACACAUCCACAAGGAGUGACAGCCUCCUCAACACUACCCCUUCAGCCAGGUGAAGGUUUGCCCAAACCAUGAUGGUGCUGUGCCUUCAGAGUGACAGAACAUUUAUUUAUAGGUAAUGGCAUUUUUGACCUUCCUCAUCUACUUACUGCUCUUCUAAGUCUGCUUUGAUCUCAUUACAUAAGGAAGUAAGAGCCUUAGAGGGAGAAUCUGUGCCCAAGCAGGCCAGCUCAGAUAAAGCUCUAAGCACUGCAGGGUGAAAAAACCCCAGUAUCUGGUUACUGGCUACAUGGGAAUCAACAGGAGUGAAGAUGUGACCUGGCAGCCAAGUGACAUAAAGACUCAGAAGGAGGCUGAUACCUCCCUCUGCUUCCCUUUGGUUUAACCAGAUGUUUUCCAAUUCAUCUGGGUAAAGAAAAGUAAUAACAAGAAUCAGCCACUGACUCCUGGGCUUUUCCCAGAAUGAGGAUUCGUACUUGUCCUGGUGAAACAUCAGAGAGGAGGUGACCUCUUGGUUUCUGAUUCUAUAGGGAACUGCUGAUGGCUGAUUUGGCUCAUGGCAAAAUCUGCAGCAAGUCUAACAUUUGCUUUGCAUUCACAGGAGGAAUGGCAGCUCUGCUUUGGCCAGGCUCCUUCCCACUCCCAACGUGCCCCAAAAGAGGAGACCAUCCGUGCCCACAUCACCAGCAGAGUUGGAGGGAUGUGUUGGGAAUGCAAGGAAGAGAUGUAGAGAUGUUUGUGCUGUGCGUGGUAUAGACCUGAGCGCUCUGGGAAGAGUUUGGGGUUAUCUGCUCACAGCUACAUGGGACAUUCCCCUGUCAUUUGGGCUGUGGGUGUUUCUGCUUGAGUGUAAGCAGAAGUCCCAGUACUACCAUUUGAGCUCUUCUUUCAGAGACAGAGAAGGAUUCAUAGUCUCAGAGCAUUGGGCAUAUUCCAGAUGGGUGCAGCAAAUAUCCCUCUCCUGCAUAAUUCCCCAAAGUCAUGUUUUUGGGUUUUUUUUUUCCUCUAUCUCUGCAGGAUUUCCGGUGGAACUAGGGCCUCCAGUCUUAAAUUUAGCCUCUCAGCAACACUCAGGAAGAACAGAAGCAUUUAAUCUCCCAUCCAGCAUCCAGGCUGAUGCUCCUCUUUUUAUUGUCUACGUAUAUCCGUAAUUAUUAACUUACAGCAACAUUUCAUUGGCCAAUAAAUGUUAGUUAUGGUAUAUUUGGUAGCUUUAUGAAAUGUAAUUAGUGCUGGAAUAGUAUGAGAUACUCAGGAGCUCCAGUACUGGUAGAUGAACCUUUUAUCAGCUGUGGGCAUUUAAUUCACUUUAACAGAAAAGUCAUAAACAAAUAACAGUAUUGCAUCCUCGGACUGGCCUAGUUUCAUCUCGUUUGCCUGCCUGGCUGCUGUGUUUCUAGGGUUUCCUGAUAUGGUCUUUAGCUCCUGCAGGCUUGUGGUAAAUUGAUCAUUGUUAGUUCUAAGAUUCAAAUUUACCUUUAUACCAUCCACAGAGCAUUUAUUACUGCUUAUCAUAUUUCACUGGAACCUAGGAACCUCCACCAGUUUUAGAGGUUCUUGCUCAAGACUCGAAGUGCAGAACAGAAAAAAAUAAAAUAUAUACCAUUUGGAUAAAACCAAAUUAUGUUUUCCUUCAGAUUAUCUGGACAAAAUAAAUAACCCUAAAUGCCAUUUUACGUGAAUCAAAACAUUCCAUUCAACCUGGAGGAAUGCAUUUUGUUUGAACAUUUGUCCAGAAAAUAAAGGGCUCAAAGACCAACA